UUUAUAAUAUCUCUGUAUAUUAACAUAAUGGAGAGAAAUUUUAAGACCUACAGCAAAAUAUUUACUUAUCUCCUUACGUUAAUAUAAGAAAAAAUUAGACACUUUUUGACUCAUUAAUUUCAUCCAAAGCCACAUUCCACUUGAGAGGCACAUUUCUAGUGUUGUUUGUCCAUUUUAUUCUUCUCUCAACUCAAAAAUUACUCUCUCUCUUUUUCUUUUGGAUCAAAACUUUCUCACUUUUCUCUUGACGCAAACAUCUUAUUCUCUUAACCGAUAAAUUGAAUCAAGAACAUCAAGGCAGGGGGCAUCAACCAAAACAAACCGUUGUGGCAUCAACUUGAGCAAACCUUCUUCUCUCCUCUUCACUAUGUCCUCAUCAUUCGCACCUUCUCUCCAAAACACAUCUUUUCCAUUUGAUUUUCAUAUCACCUAACGAUCAUAUAAGAUGAUGAUGACAAAACCCCAAAAUAAAUUCCGUCAAGAAUGUUGACAAAAACAAAUUCUGUCAAGAAGAAAACUCUUUUGUGAUGGAGAUUUGAGGAAGAAGAAGAGAUUGGAAAUGGGUUUCGUAAUGAAUAAAACUUUUUGUAAUGGGUUUCGAGAGGCGACGAACUCGAAGCUUCUGUUCGUGACGAUAUGUGCGACCUUAAUCAUAGGCAUUCUCGUUUCCUCCUUAUAUGUCUUUUCUGCUGUUUACUCUUUCAUCAAUGGACACCUCCUGACUCUCUUCUCCUCCUAUUUCCGCUGCAGGCCGUAUUCACAAAUUUCCACAAGAGAAAUCAACGUCUCAAUUACCAGAGGCACUAGGACCGCCAGCUCUGGAGGAAGAAGCUAAUGGCAUAUCCUUGGAUAAAAUCUGGAUGUCUCCUCCUAAAGACAAGAAGAUGCCACCACUUGAAGCCUUUAAACUGACGAAAGAGUUGUUUGGAGAAAGAGUGAAGGACUACUAACCCAUCCACAAUUUGUAUGUACACAAUUCAUUGACUCAAACAAUAUCAUUCAUACAAGAUGUAGAUGUGUUCUAGUUAUUUUCUUGUCUUUUCAAACAUUUAUAGUUACAUGUAUUUCCUGUUGUGUUA